UCCCACGGGUUGCGGCACCGCCGGCCUCUGAGGGGGCGUGGGGCUUUCUGAGGGGCAGUCAGCCAGGAGGGCGGUUACUGGGUCAGUUACGUUUAAGCCCGCAGCGGGUUGGCGCACCGGGAGUCCCUGGGCGGAGAGACUGGGCGGUCCUCCCAGGCUCCUGGGGCAGCUACCUGAUUUCGUCCUUCCAGAGUUUCAGACUCACAGGAGCUAUGAAAAAAUAGUAUGAAGAGGACAUAUGUCUCCUGGUUAGGGGUUUUAUGCAUCCAAAGGCUCCUAGUUCUUAGUACUGCAGGGUGGCUCCUUUUAUUUUUUAUACUCUAUUUUUAAUAUUUGUAAAAUGUACACAACAUAUAUACCAUUUUAACUAUUUUGAAGAGUUACAUUUUCCAAAAAUAUGCAGUUUAGUGGUAUUAAGUACCUUUCACAUUGUGGCACAACCAUCACUAAGGUCCUUUCCAGAACUUUUUCAACUUUCCCAACUUUCCCUGUACCCAUCACGUACACACUCCUCUCCUCCCUCCCCCAGCCCCAGGCAACCAUUAUUCUAGUUAUUGUCUCUAUGGAUUUGACAACUGUACCUGCCAUAUAAGCAGAAUCAUGCAGUAUUUAGUUAGACGUGGGGGCAUGAGUUAGCAGUUCUUGCAUACUUUCUGGGUAGGUAAGAAGUUGCAGGCUUCUAUUGUUAGAUCCACAGUCUAAUGCUUUGGUUGGGUCCUGUGACUGGUUUGUUUCACUUCGCAUAAAGUUUUCAAGGUUCAUCCAUGUGUAGGGUGUGUCAAAAAUUCCUUUCUUUUUUAGGAGGAAUAGCAUUCUGUUGUGUGGCCACGGCACAUUUUGCUUGUUGGUUCCACCCCCUCGGACACUUGAGUUGCUUCCACUUUUUGGCUAUUGUGAAUAAUGCUAUGAGCGUGAACAUACAAAUAACUCUUUGAGGCUCUCCUUUUCAUUCUUUUGGGUAUAUACCAAGAAGUAGUAUUGUUGGAUCAAAAGGCAAUUCUAUUUUUAAUUUUUUGAGAAACUGCCUUACUCCUUUCAGGGCAGUCUCUUGUUUAGGGUAUAUUUUUGAUUUCACCUCAUCAGCUGACUAUAAUGUCAUAAGACUAAUGGAGAAAGGGAUGGUGGAUGGCAGGCCUUGUUGUCCUGAGUCCCUAGAGACACUUGAUUCCCUUGUUUUAAUCCUAAAUUUUUUUUCUUUUGAAGUUUCUUCUGUUUCAUCUAUUCCGCAGUUUCUUGAAGAGGUCUGGAAAAUGCUCUUGGCUCCUUGUGUGUGAAGGUUCCUCUUCCAUGGAUGCUGGAGAGGUAGCAGGUAGAGGGACAGUCAUGUCUGGGCCCCUGUUGGCCAGGUUCAACUCACCAGUUGGGUACUCAGCAGGGCUUGAAGUCACUGUAGCAGCCCUUCUCUUUAGCCCGAAAUAAGGAGUUUGGAAGAGAGCCAGGGUUUCUGGAUGUAUGCAUUUUGAUAUUUUCAAUAGUGUAUAAAAUGUUUAAAAUAGGAAAACUGGUCAUUAUUUUUGUAAGUGACUAAGAAAGGGACUUCUUCACAGACAGUUUCAGAAAAGUGAAGGGGGUUCUGUUUUGGUCUUCAGAGAAUCUAGGUGAUUGAACGCAUCUCAGUUUUAGAAGUCAUCUUGCCUGAUCUCCCACCUAGUGCUGGAGUAUUCCACGGACCUCAUGUAGGUACUGCACCUUUGCAGGAAUACUGCUGGUGUUGGUGAGCUGUUAUUGGAGAGGACUGCUUAUUAGGAAACUUAAAAUGAACUAAGCUUUUUUGCUCAGUGGUCCUAGUCCUUUGGAGCACCAUAGGCCAGUUCUGCCUCCUUUUCUCCAUCCUUUGGAUAUUUGAACAUCUAUUUUAUAGGACACAAAAUGUGGAGAAAAUGCUAGGCAGAUUUAAAAAUUCUCAACUCUACUAAGCACGGUGGCUCAUUCCUGUCAUCAGUCUCAGCAAUUUGUGAAGCUGAGGCAGGAGGACUGCGUGAGCCCAGGAGUUUGAGACCAGCUUGGGUAACAUAGCAAGACGCCAUUUCUACCAAAAAAAAAAAAAAAAAAUUAACCAGGCAUGGUGAUACAUACCUGCAAUCCCUUCUACUCGGGAGGCUGAGGUGGGAGGAUCACUUGAGCCCAAAAAUGAGCUGUGGUCAUGCCACCGCACUCCAACAUGGGAGGCAGAGCAAGACCUUGUCUCCAAACAAAUAAAAUUCUCAGCUCAUUCAUCAAGGUAUCCACUGUAGCUCUCCAUCAUCCUGGUAGUGUUUUUUGUUUUUGUUUUUGUUUUUUCAGACAGGGUCUGGCUCCAUUGCCUGGCUGGAGUGCAGUGGCACAAUCUCAGCUCACUGCACCGCCACCUCCCUGGUUUAAGCAAUUCUCCCACCUCAGCCACUCCAUCUGGCUAAUUUUUGUAUUUUUUGUAGAGACGAGGUUUUGCGAUGUUGCCCCAGGCCAGUCUUGAACUCCUGGCUUAAGCGAUCCACCUGCCUCCAUCUCCUAAAGUUUUGGGAUUAGAGGUGUGAGUCACCGCACCUGGACAGUCCUGGUGGUUUUAAUGGUUUCUCAUUGCUCUCAGUCUAAUGACCUAUAAGCCCAUGUAGAGCUUGGCAUUUUACUCUCUCAGCCUUAGUUCACACUACUCUACCCUUCCUCACUGUCAUCCAGUCAUGUUUUUUCCUUUCCAUACUCCUCUCUGUCUGGGAAUCCAACCUUUUUUCUAAUUUCUCUUAGUUAAUUAUUAUUAUUUUUACUCUAAUAGCUGUAUUGAGAUAUUCACAUACUGUACAGUUCUCCCACUUACACUGUACUAUUCAAUUUUCAAACAUUUUCAUCACCCCCUAAAGAAACCCUAUACUCAUUAGCAGCCACUCCCCAUUCUCCCUUCUUCUCAGCCCCGAGAAACCACUCAUCUACUUUCCAUCUCUAUAGAUUUUCCUUCUGGACAUUACAUAUAUAUGAAAUCAUGCAAUUUCUGGUCUCUGAUGGGCUUGUUUUGUUACCAAAAUAUCAUGGGUUUGGUGUAGGUCCUGCUGCUCACCACACAGAAAGCCAAUCACUGAGAUAACAAGUAUUGCCGAGGAAGAAGGCUUUAAUCAGGUGCUACGGCCAAGGAGAUGGGUGCUCAAUCUCAAAUCCACCUCCCUGAUCUAAAACUGGGAGUUUAGAUAAGCAGGGAAGAAAUGUAACAGUGCAUAAGAAAACAGGAACCAGGAAGGGGCAAGGAAGCAAUCCUGAUGGACCAACAGUCUCAUUGCCUGGAUGUGGUGAUUUGAUGAUGUCUCACUCUGUUGCCCAGGCUGGACUACAAUGGUGUGAUUUCAGCUCACUGCAACCUCCACUUCCCGGGUUCAAGUGAUUUUGGUGCCUCAGUCUCCUGAGUAGCUGGGAUUACAGGAGCCUGCCACCAUGGCCAGGUUUUAUUUUCCCGUGUAUUCUAUUGUUGCCACUUGCUUAAAACUUGAAAGCAGGAUGCAAUCCAAGAUGGCCAAAUGGGAAGAGCUCUGGAGUGCAGUUCCCAGCUACAGCGGUGCAGAGGGUACAUGGAUGAACCUGGAAACCAUCAUUCUCAGCAAACUGACACAAGAACAGAAAAUCAAACACUGCAUGUUCUCACUCACAGGUCAUCAUCAGUGAUGGAAUGGUUUAAAGUCAACCGUCUCUUCUUCAGAACCUUCCCAUUGGUUGACACUAUCACCACACUCUCCUUGAAGGUAAGCUUGGAUGUCUUAGAGGUUUCAGAGAUACUCAGAGACACAGACUGAUCCAUGCAUUCUUCAUGGUGUGAGCCAUAGUUUACAUCAUAGAAGGAUUUCUAUUAUGAAGGAAAACAGAAACUGAGAGGCUGUCCAUGAUCAGGAAAAGAAAGUCUGUUCAACAGGUGCUAUAUUCAACAGAUGUAGCGAGAAGGAUCUCCAUUCUGGACUUAGACCAUCUGCUUUCCUGCCACCAUCUAUGUUCCAUCUUACAGAAUGGUCGCCACUUGGAUGUCUUCUCCAACAGCCGUGUCAUCCUUUGCACUGCAGUUAUGAAGUAGAGCUAGGAGAGGGGUUCUGCCAGCCUCUGCCCCAGCUUGGAGAACUUCAAAGAAGGAGAGUAUUGAGAGUUAGCUGCCAAGGACUGGCAGCUCCCUCAGCUCAACAGUGGUCUUUACACAAGAAGUCAGAUAUGUAUUUUUUGAUAAAAUCUUCAAAAAUUAUUAUUUUAUUUCUGUAUAAUACAUUUGCAUGACUCAAAAAUCAAACCGUAGGUCAGGCAUGGUUGCUCAUGCCUGUAAUCCUGCAAGUUGGAAGGCCGAGGCAGGAAGAUCAUUAGAGCCCAGGAGUUCAAGACCAGCCUGGGCAACACAGUGAGACCCUGUAUCUAAAAAAAUUAAGAAAUUUCGCUGGGAAUGGUGGCUGAUAUGGUUUGGCUCUGUGACCCAACUCAAACUUCACAUUGAAUUUUAAUCCUCAGUGUUGAGGGAGGGUCCUGGAGGAAGGUGAUUGGAUCAUGGGGGUGGUUUCUUCCUUGCUGUUCUCAUGAUAAUGAGUGAGUUCUCACAAGAUGUGGUUGUUUGAAAGUGUAGCACCUCCCUCUUCACUCUCUCUCUCUCCUGCUCCGCUGUGGUAAGCCGUGCUCGUUUCCCCUUUGCCUUCCACCACGAUUGUAAGCCCCCUGAAGCCUCCCAGCCAUGCUUCCUGUACAGCCUGCAGAGCUGUGAGUCAGUUAAACCUCCUUUGUUCAUAAAUUACCCAGUCUCAGGUCAUUCGAUAGCAGUGUGAGAACGGACUAAUAUAGUGCGGUAUGCUUGUAGUCGCAAUUACUCAGGAGGCUGAGGUGGGACGAUUGCUUGAGCCUGGGUGACAGAGCAAGACCUUGUCUCAAAAUAAAAUAAAUAAAUGAAUAGCAAAUUUAAAAAAACCAAACUGUAUAAAAUGUGUUCAUAAAAGUGUCUUGUGCCGACACCUGUCCCUAUAUAUCUUAUUUCUCAGCCUCUGACAACUACUUUGUUCAUUCCUUUUUUUUUUUUUUUUGAGACGGAGUUUCGCUCUUGUUACCCAGGCUGGAGUGCGAUGGCGCGAUCUCGGCUCACCGCAACCUCCGCCUCCUGGGUUCAGGCAAUUCUCCUGCCUCAGCCUCCUGAGUAGCUGGGAUUACAGGCACGCGCCACCAUGCCCAGCUAAUUUUUUGUAGUUUUAGUAGAGACGGGGUUUCACCAUGUUGACCAUGGUAGUCUCGAUCACUUGACCUCGUGAUCCACUGUCUCGGCCUCCCAAAGUGCUGGGAUUAUAGGCUUGAGCCAUCGCGCCUGGCCUGUUCAUUUCUUAUGUAUCUUCCAGAAUUAAAAUAAUCAAAUGCAAGCGCAGUGGAAUGCAUUGCUCUUCUUCCCCUAUCUUUUGUUACUUCAGAGUUAGCAUAUCAUCUUGUUGUUUUUCAGGUAUCAGCAUGUCUUGGAGAGGAUUUCAUAUUUGUGCAGAGAGCAUUAUUGCUAUAAGGAAAUACCCAAGACUGGGAAAUUUAUAAAGAAAAGUGGUUUAAUUGGCUCACAGUUCCACAGGCUGUUCCACAGGAAGCAUGGCAGCAUCUGCUUUUGAGGAGACCUCAGGGAACUUUUACUCAUGCAGAAGGCAAAGUGGGAGCAGGUGUCUUAUAUGACAGGAGCAGGACUGAGACGAGAGAGAGAGAGAGAGAGAGAGAGAGAGAGAGAGAGAGAGAGAGAGAGAGAGAGAGAGAGAGAAGGCACUAGAGCAAGAGAAAGAGAGAGAGAGAAACAGAGAGACAGAGAGAUAGGAAGCCACACACUUUUAAACAACCAGAUCUUGUGAGAACUCUAUCACAAGAACAGCACCAAAGAACUCCACUCCCAUAAUGCAAUCACCCCACACCCCACCACCUCCAACACUGGGAAUUACAGUUUGACAUGAGAUUUGGGCUGGGACACAGAUCCAAACCAUACCAGGGUGCUUUCUCAUUCUUUUCUAUAGCUGUGUGGUAUUCUAUGUUCUGUAGUUCAUUUAGCCUGUUUUUUGUUAAUAGACACUUGAGUUACUUCCAUUUUUUCUUAUUACAAAUGAUGUACAAUGAAUAAUUUUGAUCAUUUUUCAUUUCACAUGGGUCAUAUCCAACUGUAGGAUCAAUCCCCAGGAGUGAAAUUGCUGGAUCAAAGGGCAAGUGCACUUGUGAUUUUCAUAGUUAGCAAAUUUUGCUCUAUAAGGAUGAUAUCAAUUUAUAGUCCCACAUGUAAUAUUUAACAGUGAAGAUUUCCCCACAGUUUGACCAACAGAUUCUGUUAAACUUUUGAUUUUUGUCAAUAUGAUGGGAAAAUAUUAGUAUCUCUUGUGCUUUUCAUUUGCCUUUCUUAUUACCAGUAAUGUUGAACAUUGUUUUACUCUGACCAAGAUCAAAUAGUAUUUUCUUCUCUGUGACAGACUUGUUAAUAUCCCUUGCCUCUUGUUUUGCUGGAUUUUGUUCUUUUUUUGCCCUAAUGUUUUGAGGCAGUUCUUUAGAUGUGAAGCAAAUUAUCCCUUUACCUGGAAUGUGGGUUGCAAAUACUUUUCUCCUGGCUUGUUUCGUGCUUUGACUUUUCUUCUGGUGACUCCCACAAUCCUGACAGUGUACGUUUUGCAUCAUUCAUUCUUACACCCCCAUGCCCUUGUUCAUGCUGGUUCCUCUACCUCAGGGCCUUUUCUUUUAUCUGGGAACUUUUUUUAGAGAUAUGGUCUCACUGUGUCACCCAGGCUGGGUGCAAUGGUGUGAUCAUAGCUCACUGCUGUCUUGACCUCCUGGGCUCAAGUGAUCCUCCUAUCCCAGCUUCCCAACUAGCUAGGACUACAGGUGCGUGCCAGCAUGCUUGGUUGAUUUGAUUAUUUUAUUUUUUUGUAGAGAUGGAGGUCUCACUAUGUUUCCCAGGCUGGUCUUGAGCUCCUGGGCUCAAGCUAUCUUCCUGCUUCUGCCACCUAAAGUGCUGGGAUUAACGGUGUAAGCCACUACACCUGGCCCAUGUGGGGAAAUUUUCUGUUCUCCCUUUAGGCUUGAUUCAUAUGUCACUCUCCUCACUCCUUCCUGGAUACUCCUUUUGUAUUUUAUUUUACUCUACUUGGCACAUUGCCUUGUUACUGCUUUUACCUACCUGCCUCUCCUAUCUGCGGAGGAACUUCUUACCUCUCUUGUCUAUGUACUCCCUGCUUCUAGUACAUAGCACUUGCUCAACAGAUGUUUGCUGCAUUGAUAGAGAAAUCACUGGCAGCUGUUAACUGCCAGUCCCAACUAGCUGCAGUGCUUCAGCUGAUCCUGUUUCAGAUGUGCACUGAAUAUCCUUUUGUUGAACAAUAGAAAUAAAGGGGAUGGAUAAGGAGGAUAGUCUUUGGUGGCUAAAGAUGUUUCUAGGUACUUUGCAGCACUCAGCCAUGAGGAGUGGGCUUCUAGUCCCCCAAGAACUCUCACAGCCCUGUUUAUCUUAACCAUUCAGUGUCAAAUCCAAGACAAGUCAAUGAUCAGGAAAGACCUUUUUUUUUGUUUUUUUU